rnacentral:lncRNA from 1 species
ACACCCCCUCCUCCCUUAACAUAAAAUUAGAUAAAAUUUUUGAGGAAUACUUCGAUACACCGUAUAAAUUUUGAUCAUUUAUUUUUCUUAAUAGAUGGUUUAGAUUUAAUAUGAUUCUAGAGGUGACCUGCUAUUGAAGCAUAAGUACCGUUCACCAAGUACCUAUUUAAAAGGUAUUUUAGUCUUUGUAAAAUAGUUUGGUCCAUAAAACCGAUUUUAUCCAACUAAGAAUAUUGUGUCCCUCUUAAAUACCUACAACAAUAGUUGAAUUUCAAAUUACAACCAAACUGUAAAUUUAAAUUCAAAACAACAUUUAAAACUUUAUAAAUCAAAUUCAAUUUUUUUAAAUAUAAAACACAGAUUUAAAAUAAAACUUUCAGUUCCAAUUCAAAAUUUCAAUUUAAAUCAAAAAUUAAAAUUUGGCUUUAAGAUUAAAAGUUCAAUUUAGAUUCAAAUUUAAAAGUUUAAUAUAAAUUUCAAAAUUAAAAUUUUACAUUACAAUACCAAUUUCAAAAAUUAAAUUUAAAUUUUUUAUUUUUUUGAGCUGGAUACUUAACAAAUUAGG